CUGUCGACGUUUUUGUUUUUAGUACUUUUAUUUCAUUAUUUAUUUUUCCUUUUUCCAUUUUCUACAUUAAAGACGAAGUCCUUGUUGAGAAAAUUGGAAGAAAAUCCCACAGCUCUGCAAUCCUGCCUUGUGGUCCACCAAUCCUACAACCCCUUCUACUAAUUACAUUAACGGUCCUUCUCUAUCCAACAAUUCUGUUUUAGGCAAUGGUGAUUCGACACCCGAUGGUGGCCAUCACCUGGAAAUGAGUGGAACUGGAAGUAGCGGCAAUUGUGCCCUCGAUGAGGCUCGCUUGAGGUUAUAAGAACUUCGUAGCUUCUCUUCGCGCUCUUCUCGCCGCCGUUCCCAAUUCUCAAAAGGCAUUUCAAUUAGCUCAAGGAAUAAGGAAUCUUUUCUGCUCUUUUCUUUUUAAUCUCUGCUUCAUCUGCUGGAGAUUGAGAAAUUGGAACAGCUAGCCUCGAAUCUCGGAAAGGAUCUUGAAAUCGAGAACCAAUAUAUCAAGCUUUUCAUGGACAUAUCUACUUGGGGGAGUCCAUGUUCCGUAUAAGGUUAGUUCGAUUCUUUUGGUUGCUGAAAAUGGUGCCUUAAGCUAGGAAUAUAAACCAAGAUGCCUACAUACUGUCUUCAAAUCACGAAUUUUAUCGAAUUUUAUCGAAUUUCAUUCAUUGACAUUGAUCUGCACUUUGUAACUUUGGAGGAUUCAAAAAUGGUGUUAUCAAAUGCCAAAAAGAAAAAAAAGGAUAACUCGAAGUCCUUUUGUAACUUUCUCUUAUAACUUGUUGAGUAUCAAAAGACUAGUUUGAAGCAAACAUUAUGUACAAAGAGGUUUGGUUCAUUGUAAUGAUUACUUGUUUCAAGCAUAGAUAUGUGAAAAUUUUUAUUUGCAUUUUAUCAUUGUUAUGUCUAUCUUUACUAACCAUUGAUUCAUGUUAACAAGAUUCUUUAUAACUUGUUGAGUAUCAAAAGACUAGUUUGAAGCAAACAUUAUGUACAAAGAGGUUUGGUUCAUUGUAAUGAUUACUUGUUUCAAGCAUAGAUAUGUGAAAAUUUUUAUUUGCAUUUUAUCAUUAUUAUGUCUAUCUUUACUAACCAUUGAUUCAUGUUAACAAGAUUCUUUAAUUUAAAAAAAAAUCCGUUAAAUACACAAAUUUAUGUAUACAAACGAUUACAAUACGUAAAAAUAGAGGAACACUACAAAAAUAUACGGAUUGUCAAAGACCAUCAAGACCAAGUUCUACAAAGAGGGGCAACUAUAUUUAUACAGUAGGAUUUUGACACUGUUAAUUUUCAUCACAUUCAUGAUUCAGAGACAAUUCUUUCACAAAAAGUUAGUUUUAGUACAUAUUACAAGACAUUUGUAAAACCUGUAAUAGAUAAACUAGUUGUGGAUCGAAGAAGAUCGAGUUGUAAGCGAUGAUCUCAUAUCAACAAUGGCAGAUUCAUCGGCUCCCAACUUUAUGGCCUCUUUGCUUGCUCUUAUAAACCUUGAAACUGCGCCUUUCACGUACUCAUGAGCUCCUUUUACGCUCAUCUUUGUGUGCAUCUCCUCGGCAAAGCCGCUCAAGAAGUGGUCACCAUUAAGCACACUGGCUAGUUGAACUACCUCGCUCUGAAAUUCAGAGAGACCAGCGUCUUCGUUUGCUG